UACGUAGGGACCAAGCGUUGUUCGGAUUUACUGGGCGUAAAGGGCGCGUAGGCGGCGCGGUAAGUCACUUGUGAAAUCUCUGAGCUUAACUCAGAACGGCCAAGUGAUACUGCAGUGCUAGAGUGUGGAAGGGGCAAUCGGAAUUCUUGGUGUAGCGGUGAAAUGCGUAGAUAUCAAGAGGAACACCUGAGGUGAAGACGGGUUGCUGGGCCAACACUGACGCUGAGGCGCGAAAGCCAGGGGAGCAAACGGG
rnacentral:rRNA from 4 species